AGUUCAUAAUUCAAAAAACACUGAUGUCAUUCCCUCCAAAAUAUUGUUUUCUAUAAAUUUUUUAAUUGGUACUUUUACUCUAAAGUCAAAAUUAAGCUAGUUUUACUUAUACUGCAUAAGCAUUUUUUUUUGUAUGUUACCCGGUUGUUGAACUGAUACAGUAGAUGCGGGUAUAGUAUCCUUUUAAUCACAGUUAAUAAAACCUUUGCAUCAUACUGAAACAUUGUAUUAGGAUCGGUUGUUGGAUAAUGGACAGUCAUCGGGUAGAAUAUGAGUAGAAUGUUUGGGAGUCAUACCAAGGGUUUAGGUACAAUUCUGAACAACUGGUGUAAUUUUUUGAUUUUUAAGUCUUAAUAAUCCUUAAAUCUACGUUAUAAAUAAUCAUAUUGAUUGUCCUGAGUUAACUAAAAUUUAAUUUAAUGC